UGGUAUUGUGUGUGUUUUAUCACCCAGAAUUUAAAAAUACGCCCUUAUACGUUUCUUUCUCUAUCGCAGGUUAAGUUGAAAGUUAAUGGAAGCUGCAAAGUGUUUGCCUUCUAUAUCUGCAAUGGAAACCCCACCUGCUGUCUUCUUGAUGUUUUUGUUCCUUGUCUUUAAGACCUGGUCUCAAAUUCAGAAGUUCAAUACCAGCGUCAGUUUGACUUGACACAAUCUAUGGUUGUAGUGUAUUGAUUUCACAAAUUGAGCCUAUAAAUGAAACUCUGUCAUCAAGAAGCUAUUGGACACCUAUAUGGGGGAGGAAAGGAAGGGUAGAUUAUUCUGUAUCUUUCAGAAGAGAGAGACAAGAAAAGAGAAAAUAUGAAAAACACCAGAGCAACACCUAACUCUUGAUUCCUGGGUUAGAGAAGGCUUUUUGUGAGAAGCCUAAUACUAGAAGGCUAUGAAGGAGUUUGCCGGGUAAA
rnacentral:lncRNA from 1 species